GGAUGCCCUGGCAGUCAGAGGCGAUGAAGGGCGUGCUAAUCUGCGAUAAGCGCCGGUAAGGUGAUAUGAACCGUUAUAACCGGCGAUACCCGAAUGGGGAAACCCAGUGUGACUCGUCACACUAUCAUUAACUGAAUCCAUAGGUUAAUGAGGCGAACCGGGGGAACUGAAACAUCUAAGUACCCCGAGGAAAAGAAAUCAACCGAGAUUCCCCCAGUAGCGGCGAGCGAACGGGGAGGAGCCCAGAGCCUGAAUCAGCAUGUGUGUUAGUGGAAGCGUCUGGAAAGGCGCGCGAUACAGGGUGACAGCCCCGUACACAAAAGCGCAUGUGCUGUGAGCUCGAUGAGUAGGGCGGGACACGUGGUAUCCUGUCUGAAUAUGGGGGGACCAUCCUCCAAGGCUAAAUACUCCUGACUGACCGAUAGUGAACCAGUACCGUGAGGGAAAGGCGAAAAGAACCCCGGCGAGGGGAGUGAAAAAGAACCUGAAACCGUGU
rnacentral:rRNA from 1 species